UACGGGGGGAGCAAGCGUUGUUCGGAUUUACUGGGCGUAAAGGGCGCGUAGGCGGCUCAACAAGUCACUUGUGAAAUCUCCGGGCUUAACCCGGAGCGGCCAAGUGAUACUGUCGUGCUAGAGUGCGGAAGGGGCUACUGGAAUUCUCGGUGUAGCGGUGAAAUGCGUAGAUAUCGAGAGGAACACCUGCGGCGAAGGCGGGUAGCUGGGCCGACACUGACGCUGAGGCGCGAAAGCCAGGGGAGCGAACGGG
rnacentral:rRNA from 1 species